CUACGCAGGGCUCGAACUCACAGACUGCGAGAUCAUGACCUGAGCUGAAGUCGGACGCUCAACCAACUGAGCCCCCCAGGCGUCCCACAAACAAACUUUCUGUGUAAUUUUGGGUUCAAGGGGUAAUAAAGAUGGAAAUCACAAUCAUUUUCGAGUCCGUACCGCUAAAAGCACCAUCUGCAUCAGCUCACACGGGCUGCAUUUGUGCUCGGCAGUGGGGAGGGUGUGUGAGGUGUCUGGUGCCCAGUGUGACUGAGGGGGUCCCCUAGUGGGCAGCACCCCUCCUACACCAGCCCCCUGCCCAGCACGGGUAGGUAAACGCUGGCGAGUGUUGACAGGGCCCCAAACCGCAGCACGGACCCAACAGUGUGUAGCCUCAGAUGCGUUUCCAGGAAAUAUGAAAGAUGGAAAUAAAACUCACUAAGUGUGCAACUCAAUACACUAGUAACAGAUAGCAAAGGAAACACGGAAAGUGUAGAAGGAAGAAAUAAGAAAUGAUGGAAACAGAGGUAAUGAAAUCGAAAAGACAGACAAGCUUUGAUCAAUAAAACGGGGUCUUUGUUUGGAGUUGUGGUGGGGAACCUGAAUGGGAUGGUGUCUGAAGAUGAGGUUGGAAAGUCACUUAGAUUCCACCUCUAAAGUAGGACCGCAGGCCUUUCGGAUUUGCGAGUACUUUCUGCCAGAUCGUAGACAAAGACAGAAGUUCCCUAAAUAAUGGUGCUCGUCCAGGGCCACCUUGACCCACCAGGACUCGGUCUGAGAAGGUAGCAGAUGGCAGGGGCCUGACUGACAAGAAGCGGCUUAACCACGUGUGUGGUUGUAUUGAGCACACUUUUCAUUUUCUGUGAUUUACGAUGUUCCGGCAUCUUACAAACUCUUUCUGGCUUGGGAGGCUGGCCCCCCUGGGCCAGCGGUUCUCAGGGCAGGUGCAGGUCCCAGUGGAGUCCUGCCUUUGAUGUGCCUGCCGGCCAGCCCAGAGCCAGCCUGUGUGGACCAAGGAGGCAGUGCCUGAACCUCAUCAGCCCGGGGCCAGGUACCAGGCAGCUGGGGACAGCCCGGAGUUUCGAACCUGCUGGAAUUAUUCAAGCCUCUCCUGCAUCUCCUCUUGUGGCACACCGACUGGCAUCCCGUUGAAGAACACGACCAGUGGCUGGGGCAGUGACCCAGGGAUGUCAUGAGGGGACCUGCUUCAUGACCUCUUUCCUUGAACUUUCCUAGCUGCUCAUGAAAGCAGGGGGGCUUCUCCCUGUGACUCUUGGCCAGACUCGUCUCACGGACCCACCUGUAGCCGCAGGACAGGCUGGGAAUCAAUGUUCCAGAGAAGAAACGCGGGACAGAGGAGAGGGAAUGAGCAGCCCCAGGUUUGCCACGUAAGCGGAGCAGGACGGGCCCAGGGGGCGCACAGACUGGCGGCCCCCAGACACAUACUUCACGUGUGUCCUAGUGGCGAAACAUCGGAUGCGUCCUUUUUUUAAAAACCAUUUUUAAAGUUUAUUUAUUUAUUUUUGAGAGAGAGAGAGGAGGAGAGGGCCAGAGAGAGAG